rnacentral:tRNA from 1 species
GCCCGGAUGACGAAAUCGGUAGACGUAGCGGACUUAAAAUCCGCGCCCGCAAGGGGUACGGGUUCAACUCCCGUUCCGGGCACCA